CAGUACCACGGCCAGCCGCCGGCACCGCUACUGCUCUCUCCGGCCUGUCCCUCGGCCAGACGCUGUCAUGCUGAAUGCUAGCUGUCCAUUCUCCCGGUCAAUCGCCACCAUGCCCGACGCUCUCUCGGCGAGCCGCCGCCACCGCGACCGACGUUCCGCCACCUACUACUGCCGCCACGACCGACGAUCUCCCCUGCAUUAAUUCUCUUCCUGCUACCGCUCUAUGGCCGCCACUACCCUUCCAGCUCCACAACAUAUGAUAUUCCGGCCACAAAUGCACAUGAAACGGCCUCACUCACCAACUAAUUCACCUAACCUCAUUACAUCACCCUUCAUUAACCUGCAAAUGCGGAAGAAAGUGGAUUUAAGUACCCCUGCUAUGUAGUGUCAUUGUCAUCCAUCACACAUGACUUCUUGCGUCCCAUCGCAAGAGGCCUUCGGCCAGGUAGCUGCAUAGUUCCUAUUUCCAAAUGCCUAUGAUUUUUCCAAUCCUGAAGCUUAUGCCUUUUUAUCUUUUCAGGUGGCGCUUGAGAUCAAAGGUGCUCUGCUCCAUGUUAUUCUUCAAACAUCUCUUACUGUUGGGAAUUGUUUCAUUACUUCACAUGUUUCUUUGCAUUUGUUCCAGAUUGUGAUUUACUCUCACUUUGUCAUGUGCAGCAAAUUCUCCUCGAGACGCCCUCUGAUUCCGCCCCCUUGCACUACAGGUCUGGUUCUUACACCUAGAACUGCAUCAUCUAAUUUUUUUUGCUUGGUUGUGCUAUUCUCAUCUUGGAAAUUGCAUAUCUUGGCCGAUGCAAAGGUUGAUGCGAUCUGGCUGCUGUACAGAAAUAUAACGAAAUUUUGCUCUUAAAUUUUCCAUGUUCCAAUAUACCACAAUAUUGUGUCCGUUAGUUGAUUUUACCUGUAUAUUUCUAUGACAUAUUAUCAAUAAAUAUCUAUGGAUUUUAAGUUUUGCUAUAUAAUCUUUUUCUCCCAUGCAAUCUGAUUGUUGUAUAAUGUAUAUACAUCACUAAUCUGUUAGUUGAGCCAAGUCACAUACCAGAGAAGAAUUAAAAGAUGCAGUUCGUUCAAUCUGCAGACAAGCAACACGAACAUUAGAAACUACAUCUAUAAUUGGAAACAAAGAGGAAUUAUAUGUUCUUAUCAAUAUAUCAUCAAGUAUAACUACAUGCAACAAAUAGACAUGUGACUCUGCUAGCUUGAAAGACUGUAUGUAUAUCUUGGGAAUAAUACACUUGACAGGUCUACAUGUGUUCUUGCUUCAAGCUUUGUCUCUAACAUUAUGAAUUAUCUAUACGGUGUAUAGUUUACCGUAAAUGUUAGAUAAGUGAACUGAUAAAAAAAUAUAAGAGAUGUGUAAAAGAGGAAAAAUAUAUACAACCACAGAUUUAGCAAGAGAAAACUUGGGCUUAACUCGCUUUGCUUAUUGAACUUAUUACAUUUUGCAAGACGUAUACAGUCACCUUUAGAUGGGUACCAGUAUAAUAAAAUUAGUCUAAAGCUUAUACAUGUGUUAGGCUGCCUGGUGCACAGUUGGAUAGGAUGGGAAAAGAAAAUAAUUAUUCAACAUAAUCAGUCCCCUUAAUUUGGUUUCCAUCAAGAAAUGUAGACUCGGAUGUAUUCAAACUUCCUUUACUUCCUAUUUUGUCCGUUGUUUGCUUUACUGAAAACAUAGAUUUGGAGCAACACAACGAGAUUAUAAUUUUGGUACUGCCAUAUAUUUGAAAAUCUUUCUUAAUUAUUCUGGCAUUAUCACCAUUUUCUGUUUAGUCGAUGUAUUAAAUGUUCCUCCCUCAUAUAGAAAAUUAUGGAUGUAUACCAUCUAUUUAAUUUGUACUGCUAGCAGCAAACUAAGUGUGCAGUUUAAUUAGCAUAGUUUGGUAACCAGCAAGAGUGAAUUUUAUUUAGCCUCAUUUGGUAAUCAGCAAAACAACUUACUACUACAACACACACAUCUAUAUAACAUAAUCCUGUCGUAUUUUCAGCUUACCUUAUCUUUUCAAUCACGGGUCAACAAUAGGUACAAAUGGACAACCAAAGUAGCAGGCACUCCUACUGAAAUUGGUAUACCCUAUAUUUUAUUUCAUUUCUUACCUUGAUUGAGAACAUACAUCUAUUUUCUCCAGGAUGUCACCUAAUUCCGCAAACAAUAAUCUGCCAUGUUCUACCAUCAUUUCAAUAAGAGAAGCUCAAAAGAAAUACACAGAUGCAAUUGCAAAGAGGAAGAGCACAAAAGACCUGGAGUUUAUAACUGUCUGGUGACCAUCUAUUUUCAUAUGUUGGACACAUUGUUGAGUAUGAAGAAUGAGAUACCAUAUGUCCAGGUCGUAGUAAUUGCUCAAGGCACACCUACAAACAACAUCAAAGAUAUCCUGCAACAGUAUAUUUGAUGCUACAAAGUGCUAUAGCUUUAUCAUAUACAAUAUAUAUUGUUCAUGCUAUAAACUGCUAGGUUUAAUCAUGCGGUGCAUAUAAAUCUAUCACAAUUGAAAUUAUAUUCUUC
rnacentral:lncRNA from 1 species